rnacentral:rRNA from 1 species
UACGAAGGGUGCAAGCGUUACUCGGAAUUACUGGGCGUAAAGCGUGCGUAGGCGGUUCGUUAAGUCUGUCGUGAAAGCCCUGGGCUCAACCUGGGAAUUGCGAUGGAUACUGGCGAGCUAGAGUACGGUAGAGGAUGGUGGAAUUCCCGGUGUAGCGGUGAAAUGCGUAGAUAUCGGGAUGAUUAUUUAAGGAGACGGCGACCACCGAGACCUACACUGACGCUGAGGUGCGAAAGCGUGGGUAGCAAACAGG